GGCAGUUUAGCUUAAAAGUAAAGCACUAUGACCGGUAAUCACAGAGAUGUGAGUUCGAGUCUCAUGGCUGGCU
rfam:Octopus bimaculoides Scaffold8817_contig_242, whole genome shotgun sequence.